ACGGGAGGCAGCAGUGGGGAAUAUUGGGCAAUGGGCGAAAGCCUGACCCAGCAACGCCGCGUGAAGGAUGACGGUCUUCGGAUUGUAAACUUCUUUAAUUGGGGAAGAACAAAAUGACCUACCCAAAGAAUAAGUCACGGCUAACUACGUGCCAGCAGCCGCGGUAAUACGUAGGUGACAAGCGUUAUCCGGAUUUACUGGGCGUAAAGGGCGUGUAGGCGGUCUUGCAAGUCAGAAGUGAAAUUCCUGAGCUCAACUCGGGCGCUGCUUCUGAAACUGCAGGACUUGAGUGCUGGAGGGGAUAGCGGAAUUCCUAGUGGAGCGGUAAAAUGCGCAGAUAUUAGGAAGAACACCGGUGGCGAAGGCGGCUAUCUGGACAGUAACUGACGCUGAGGCGCGAAAGCGUGGGGAGCAAACAGGAUUAGAUACCCUGGUA
rnacentral:rRNA from 1 species